GGUGGCUCAGUGGUAGAGUGCUUGUCUUGCAUGCAUGAGGCCUGGGUUCGAUUUCUCAGUACCA
rnacentral:tRNA from 1 species